rnacentral:lncRNA from 1 species
UCAGUCUCAGUCAUUCAAGCUUCAAACGUCUCCCGUCCCCGGAUCACUUCUUCAGUCCCGGAGUUUGAGAAGAUGAUGACGACCGACGCAGCGCACAGGUUGUCGCAGAACCCCGUCGCGCCGACCCGGCGACGCCCUACACGACGGUGCCGUCCUUGAUGGUCGCGUUCUUCUGGAUCACCACGAUCCCGGACCUGAUGUAGUACCCUUCCUCCGGCCUGUCGGCUUCUUGCACCCCCUGACAGAAAUGGCACAAAGUGGCAUGGUUUCAGAGACAGGUGUUGUUUCUUCAAAAUUUUGGUAGUACCAAACUUCAACCCUGAAUGAGAGUAAGUAUCUUACCUCCUUGUUUGAGAUGACCACGUCCCUUCCUAUCCUCGCGUUCAUGUCGAUGAUGCAGUUGCUGCAAUGUGUCCACCCAAAAAGUGUUAAGAGAUAAUGUGUCACUUGCACCGUGUUGUUUCUGAGGUACAGAUCAGUCUCUCUUUACCUGAUCUUUGUGUUCUCCCCGACGCCGAUGGGAACCUUGCCCUCAGACAUCAGCCUCGAGAUCUCGUCCUCGGUCUCGUACGAGUCCGCGCCCAUCAUCAUCGCGUUCUGAGAACGAACAAACACCAUUCGGAAGAGCGACAGCGUUCAGACGCAUGAUGGUUUUUAUAGCUGACAUGCACCACAUGCAUUAAUUCGGUGGUGAAAACCAUACCUUGAGCUCGCUUCCGGAGUUUAGGCGUGAACGAACGCCGAUGAUGGAGUGCUCGAUUUUGCAUUCACGCAAGAAGCAGCCGUGCGAAAUGAUCGCUUCUUUGAUCUGCGCACAAAAGAAUCCGUAUCAGAAUCCGUAUCAGAUGCUUACCGCCGAUGCUUGUAUGGAGUAGUCUGAAUAGCAGGUCCAUUCUAACACGUACCCUGCACUUGUCUGACUUUGUUGGCGGUAAGUACCGAGGCGAAGUGAAGAAGGGGGUUUUUGGAUCAUAAAAUUCAAACUUUGGAGGCUGCAAAAUAAAAAAAUGUGUGAGAGAAGAUUGAGAUUAUGUUACUUGAAGUCUCUCAAUGCAACUUUAUCAUUUACCAGAUGAUUUAAGCCUAACUACUUCUGUGAUAACAUCAAGUCAACUUGGAAGAAACAAAAAUAGAAUGUCACCUGUUCGCAGAGGGCCAUGUUCGCAUCGAAGAAGGAUCUGAUUGUUCCAAUGUCCUCCCAGUAGUCAGUGAAGACAUAUGCCUGACAAAGAUAGUGUCAGAUGAAUGGUCGUGCAAUGCAGAGGAAAUCGUUUCUAUAGACUGCAUUUCAUGCAGUGCUACCUCCCUAGCAGAAACAAUGAAUGAAGCUCACAUAGUAGCUUUACCUGUACAUUGUGAUCAUGCAGAGCUCUCGGGAGGAUUUCAGACCCAAAGUCAUGUAGUUCUGCGUAUCUUGACCUGAGAAUGCCAACGUUAGAAUUCAGGCUGACAGGAGAACCGCAUCGUCACAAGUGCAGGUUCUUACUUUAGAAGGUUCAGCAGAACAUCUCUCUUGAAGACAUAAACUCCCAUCGAAGCAAUGUAUGGAUAUUUAGCAGGGUCGUCUAUGGCGAAAUUGAGAAAACUGGUAUCCACUUUCUGCAAUGAUCAAUGACUUAAAUCUCAGAUACUGCAACUUAUUUAAGAUACUUAUAUCUUUAGGCAUAUAUCUGACACAGUGAGCAAAGACGAGCGCUAACCAUCGCUUCCAGAUCGUCGCCCUUUGGCUUCUCAGAAAACUGGAUCACACGGCCUGAACUGUCGAACUUCACUAGCCCGUACUCAGAUGCCCGGCUUCCAAAACAAAGAAAAGCAGAUCAGGAUGCAGCGUAACUUCACCAAAAGGAAUAUACAUUCAUAAACAGGGAUCUGGGAUGUAGAACAUUAGUUAAUACCUCUCUCCAACAGGGGCACAUGAUAAAGUAAUGUCAGCAUUGUCAUCCACAUGUUUCUGUAAAGGAUGUAUGACACAGCUUGGUCAGCCAGUUCAAAACAGAACAUACACUAGAGCUGGUUAAAGAGAACAUCACAAACCUGCACAAGCUCCAUGUAAUCCAUGCGAUAAAGCUGAUCGCCCGACAAGAUCAAAAUGUGCUCUAUGGAUUUAUGCUUAUAGUAGUCCUGCAGAGGUACACAGAACACAACAAGCAUUACUUUAACACAUGCAGAUCGUACAAGUAUGAGGUGCAAGGAGGGCCAUGUGCUCCUAGAUACUCUUCUCACCUCAAGCACCCAGAUAAAUUUUCUGACGGCAUCCGCUGUUCCGCGGAACCAUCCAGCAGCCUCCCCAGGCAUUUGUGUCGCGGCCAAUACCUAUUUGUUGCAAAAAAGGUGUCUCAGUCAACGUGUGCUGUAGUUGGCUAAAAGCCCAAGACGUCAACAUGAAAAUCAGAAGAAAAGUUAAAGUAUAAAUCAACAUUAAGUUGAGGUCAAUUACCUCAACAGAUCCAUCAGUGAAAUUGAUUCCCCCGCCGAGGUAGGUGCGGUGAAUGUGGCGAUUGAGAGAUGCCGAGUUGAACUGGGUCAUGACGAAUAUCUUGUUGAUGCCACUGUUGAAGCAGUUGCUCAUGGGAAUAUCGAUGAGCCUGUAACAUCCUCCAAUAGGAACCUGAGCAAUGCAACAAAGGGAAAGGAACAAGAUUCAGGCUGGCGAUCCGAAGAUGACUGGACAAGCUACAUGGAUGGUCACUGAUAGCCUUGAGGUUGACAUCAUGUCGGUUAAAGUGGGGGGCAUCAUCGGGACCGGCUACAGAAACCACUGCUGCUAAUAAUGAUUUAACUUGAUCACGAUGCAGAAACCUUGCUACUGAAUGAGCUGUACUUCAACUGGUCCUAUCCAAAUCAAUUAACAUGUGCAGAUAAGAACUGAAAUUUAAAUAAAGCUUCCUCAUUCUUAUCUAUCUAAAACUGGGAAAUUAUCUAGUAGUAGGGAGUACAAACAUAUCUGCAAAUGACAGUUUUAUUUAUUCAUUUCUGCAAUUGAAAUGUACCAACUUGAAACUGGAUAAACGUAGAAAGUUAUAACUAUAGAAGUGGAUGAUGAAUGUGCCAUCUUACAGCAGGUGUGGCCCUUGUGCUUGUGAGCGGGAAGAGCUGAGUCCCGGUGCCGCCGCCGAGUAUGACGGCCGCGACCUCGUUCGGAUCGGCGUAAUUCCUCCGGAAGGACGUCCGGAGAACCUACAGGUGUUUUUAUUUUGCAUCAAAACAUCAGAGACACUAACAUACACAUAUGCUCCACUGCAACCCGAACAUGAUCUGUCUGGGAUGGGAUGGAAAGUUUGAAACUCACAAGGGUGUCGGCCGGGCUGGCGUCGGAGGUGAGCACGCACUGCGCACCGGUGGCGGCGGGGCCCCUGGCGCCGCCGUUGCACAUCCUCCUGGACGCUCUCUCGUGCCUGAUGCUGCUGCUGUCCCCGAUCUUGAGGCGCUCGCAGGCCGAUCCCUCUCUCCUGACUGGGGAAACGCACGCCUUGCCCUCCAGGGGCAGCACGCUGCUGAACUGCAUCGAUGACAUUAGCAGUCCACCUGCAACUGCAACAAGAUGAGAAGUUGAGAACCAUUAGCAAGCAUGGAAUCUUGAGAAAUCCGUUUACUGGCUAGACCAGAUUGGAGAACGGAAGGCAGGUGAGUUUGUCCCCAAAUCACUGAAGAAGUCGCACGAUCGAGCAGAAAGAGCACGGACUUUUUCCCCCUCCUCUUUCAUGGGUCACGGGCGUCUGUAAAAAGGUUGAGUGGCGUAGAACAAUGAUUAUUGGAAAAAAGGACUAGUGGAAGAGUGGGAAAGGUGCCAAGGACUUUGUGACUUUUCAGCCUUGAGGAGAGAGUCGGCACGUGAAUCAGGAGAUGAGAUGAUCCUCUCAUCUUGUGGCUGGUGUUCUUCCUUUGCUGUUCCCUCCUCUUCUGAACUCAAAGGGACGCAAGGCAGAAUAUACCUGAUGAACUUUGCAAGUGGAAACGGAGGCUUGCACACGGAUUUCAAGUGUGAUGCAGUGCAUAGUUUCAUUGACGGGAGCUACUUGACACGGGAAAUGAUUUGAAUAAGGAGAGGUGAUGAUGAAAACGAGCUGGUUGACGCCGAAAUAUUUGAAGGAGUUGAGCAGGCAGGGCGCGCAGGAUCCAAGGAGGACUCACAUUUUUGUCGUUGGGAAGGCAAAAGAAACACUCGGAUCGAAAAAGGGAGGACCUGAAUCACCGGUGUGAGAGCAAGUACAAUAAGGUACAGUCAGCAGGCUGUAAGGAUUAAGAUAAUAUAUUUUUGCUGAGUUGGAUGAGAGAGAAGAGGAGAGAGAAGGGAAGCGGGCUCUUCGUGAAGAGCCAGCUCUAGCACGUGCUCCUAGGUGCUUUGUGAGAAUGAAAGAUGGACCAUAUAUGAUAAAAGUAGUACUAUUUUAUAGCUAACUAUUGUACAAGUUAGCUAUAAGAUGGGCUAUAAGAGUGCUUAUAGCCAGCAGUUGGCUAUACUAUUAACCAUGCUCUGACUGAAUCACUCCUCCUCCUACUAUUCGUGGUCGGCGUCAGUUAAUUCAGACUAGUAGUAGUUGGUUGGAGAAAAGAAAUCAACAUAAUACGAGAGACCGAGGGGCCGUGAUCCUAAAAUUAAGUCGGCAACGAGAUCCGUGCUCCCCCGCCGGCGGCUGGCCCGCGAACCACGCCGCCGGCGCCGCGCGGUGUCAGUCACUCACCUCACGGGCGCGCCCUCACGUCUGACCCAUUACCGCUCACCCCGUGCCCCGCCGGCGUCGGAACGGGGGGCGGCAUUAAAAUGCGCGGCGGAAUCCGGGCGGCGCAUCCGGCAGGGAGGGGCGCCACCUUUCGAUGCCAUUACGCAUCGACGGAACGCAAAUGAAUCAAUCGGCGGCGAGGAAGGGAGUGGGAUGGGAUGGGUUACCUGCCGGGGACGGCGGGGUGAGGGAUCGACGGGGUGGCGACCGGGCAAGCGACGGAUGAAUAUGAACGAAUCAAAUGCAGGGAGGGAGAAGGGGUGGUGGUGGUGGUGGUGGUGAGGGGAGGGGAGAGGAGAGAGAUGGUCCGUGGAGGCGUUGAGUUCGGAGGUGGUGUGUGGUGAUGUGGAGGGCGGGGCAUAUAAAGCGGGCCGAGGCGAUGGCGUCCCUCCCACUGCACUGCAAGAAACGGACGGACGGUGUGGGAGCAGCAGAGCAGAGGAGUGUAGCGUGAAGCGUGAACAAGGAAGGGGUGGUGGCAUGGCAUGGCCCCAACUCUCGUUUUGGCGCUACCCCCCAUGCCUGGCCAUGUGCGAGAGCGAGAGCACCGCCGUCCCCUCCCUUGCCGCUCACGGCUCCGAGGCCCUCCUUUCCGUCCGCCACGCCCACGCUAGCUCCGCCACCGCCGUUGGCCGCCCUCCCUCGCUGCUUUUGUUGCCUUCAGGUCUCGAUUCGAAGCCUGCCUGACCACCCACAACUCGCCGUGGGAAUACCAGGUGCACGAGGGCCAACGGAAUGCUCGGCUCGACAACUGGCCUCAGCUCGCCGCCGCCGUCGUCUUCCUUCUUCCUUUUUGCAGUUCGUUAACGCCGGCGUUCCUUGUGCCUCUCCUCGCACGCACGCACUCGCAACGUGCUGCUGGCCGGAAACCCGCGGCACGUUGGUUGGUUGGUUCGUCGCACCUGGACUGGACUGGACUGGACGGACGGACGGCUACAUUAACGGCACGGCCAUCGUUUGUUUGUUUUGUCAGUUUACCCGUGCACCGGCACCGCUGCCGCCCCGACACAUCACCGGGGGAACCAACGGCGGGAAUCGCUCCCCUCCUCCACCUCCAUACUUCUACUGCCAGCUAUACUAGAGUACACCUACCUAGCUACAGUGCGUGGCGAGGUACUGGACUGGACUGUGGGCCUCGGUCGUAGUACAUGCGAUGCGGUGAAGAAGAGAAGAGAAGAUGGAUCUCUCGCGACGCCGCCACGCAGCGGGGCGUCGUGGCGCGCGGCCAGUUGAGGGAGGGGAGGGGAGAUCCAGGCGCUUGUCAGAACGCGAGCGCCCUCUCCCGUGAUGGCAGCCACAGAUUCAUUCCAGCUGCGUGCGUGCGUGCUGCUCCGUCACGCAGUGCCGCGCGUGUGUCUUCAGUUUUUUCUCCUUAAGGGCAGGGCAUCGUAUGAUCAUCGUUGGUAAAAUUAUUACAUAGAUGAUUUUGAUGACAUGUCACAUAAUAAAAAAAGAAAGAGAAUGAAACCGUAUCAACUUGAAGCAACGGUUCAUGCACAAGCUACUAGGUUAUUUCUUCAACAUUUAGUGGACCCACUUUGUUAUUUUACAUACGGUUAACAUACACUUUGUUGAAGGACUUUGCUGUUGGUUGCUGAUGUGGACACUUAUACUAAGGAUUGAACAUACGAACUGUUGGAGAUGCUCUAAACAAUGUAUACACGUUCCUAUACUCAUCUCACCUCUAUCAAAUAUACUCAUCUCAUCUCUACGAAUACAUUUGUAUGAAUAUAAGGACACGUCCUAUCCUUCUGAGUAUCUUUGAGAGGUUUAUAAUCAGCUCAUUAUAUUAAGAUUGAGAAAGUCAACACAUUAUUAUAUUAUAAAAUUUAAUAAGUUGGUACAUCAUCUUGACAUUGAUAAAUUAACACAUAUGUCUUGGUUGUCGACGAAAAUAUUUCCUCCCACUUAAUCGACACACGAUCUUGAGAUUUGACAAAGCCGACAAAUCAUCUUUAGAUUGAUAAUAUCGUUUGUUGACACUUUCUUAGUCGACGGAAACAUCUCCGUUUAUUGAAUGAACAUUGUCAAGAAGCCUCAGAUAAAUUCAAAAGAUAUGAGCAUGGGUGUUAAGUAUAAGACUUAAAUUCGAUGGAUGGUUCCAACACAAUUAACCUAACCAUCUGAGCUACAAUACUCAUUUCACGUGUGUCUUCACGUCUGGAACCCUGUUUCGUUAUAUGUAAUCGUGGAUACGAUGGAUAUUCCCCUAGCACUCGAGGCCUAGGGUUCCCCUGUCCUCCUGGAAUCGUCGCCGGGGAUUUUCCCGUAGAUCCAAUCGCUCUGCCUGACGAUCAGUCUUGCUCCUGUGCUUCUCACGAUGUCCUAGGGGGGUGGCUCUCCUCUCUCUCCCGGACUCGCUACUGUUUGGUAGAGGGGCUAGGGUUAGCGGAGGGGUUUUCGGUUGUGACCGCGGCAAUGGCGGCUGAAGCGAGUGGAUCACGUGCAAAGGGUGUGGAAGAUCCGGGUGUGUUGCUAGAACGCCUGCAUCUGGAGGAGGAUGAGCGGGAUGACCUUGUCUGGGAGGAUGAGGAGGAAGAUCCAGAUGAGAAACCGAAGUGGCUUGCGCUGGCUAGGGUUCUGACCAACAAGUCUUUCGAGCAAGGGGCCUUGAUUGAUGAUAUGAAAGCGGCAUGGAAUCUAGCAAGGGAUGUGGUAUGGAGAAGGAUAAACUCCAACCUGUUCUCGGUGCAAUCAAUUGUCUGGCAGAUUGGAAUAAGGCGUUGCACCAGGGCCCUGGGACUUCAAGGGGAUGGCUUUGAUCAUAGCGGAAUAUGAUGGUUUCAAGAACCCGGAAUCUGUCAAAUUGGACAAGAUUGAAACUUGGUGUCAGAUCCAUAGGUUGACUAAUAUGAUCCUCAAGAGGGAACAAUUUGUGAGAAAUAUGGCACAACUCAUAGGAGAGGUCAUGAAGGUAUAGAUCGUCCUUCCUAAUGGCUUCAUUGGUGAAUUCAUCAGAGUCACGGUAAAACUUGAUAUGUCCAAGAAACUGACGAGGUUUGUGGGAUUCACAAAAGCGGGUGUGACUGAGUACUAUCAAGUUAAGUUUGGAAAGCUUCCUGUUUUCUGUUUUAUGUGUGGCCUUCUUGGACAUUGGCAUGAGGAAUGUGGCUCGGGAGAGCAUGAUAAGAAGGAUAUGGAGUGGGGCUCCUUUAUUUUGGCAUCCUUGAGAGGUGCGGGUGGAAUAAGGAACUCAGUUAGAGGCAAUUGUUGUGGUUCGGGUCGUGGCUCGGGCGCUGGUGAUGAGGAUGAUGAGGCUGCUGCUGGUGGAAGGAGGGGAGGUCCUGCAAGAACUCGUGGUCGUGGCCUUGGGCAUGUGAGGGACUCUCAAGCUCGGGACUCCCGAGAUCAAUAAGACUGAUGCGGAGCACAUGCAUACUAGCUGGUGUUUCAAAGCAUCUAAUGCACUGUGUGAUCCAGGGGUGGGGAUGAACUCUCGCCUUGAUGGUUCCCCAUAGGAGAUGUGGGAUGACGCACUGAUUGUUCGUAAGAGAGAGCGAGAUGAUUCCCAUACGGUCCCAAAACUAGUUGUAGAGGAGGAUGUGCAAGUAGCUGAAGGUGCCAUUGCUCCCGUAGGGAUUACAACGAAUAGGGUGGACCAGUUUGAGGGCUCGGAUCCACCCAGCAGCUCAGAGAUUGGUACCCCUCAGAAGAAUGUGAAUCGGAAGAAGUUUAAGACGGAUGAUGGUGUGGCCAUUGACAGUACAUCAACUAGUAGAUCGGCGGCCUCCUCGGUGGAGGACCGCCGGAAGCAAUGAAUCUACUAAGUUGGAACCGGGGAGAGGGGGGGGGGGGUUCCCGAACAGUUCUGAUCUUGCGACUUUGGUCAAGUCGCAUUCCCCUCUCUCGUCUUCCUGUGUGAGACUAUACAGUUAGCUAGCAAGAUGAAGGGAUAUUGUUCUAGAUUGGGUUUGAAGGCCUUUGAUGGUGUUGGUGCUAAUGGAAAUAGUGGAGGCUUGGCACUGUAUUGGCAUGAGAAUUUGAAUGUGUAGGUAAAUUUCUCAAAUGCCCGUUGUAUUGAUGCACAUGUACAAGCCAGGCCGGAUGAACAAUCGUGGAGAUUGACUUGUGUGUAUGGUGAACCGAGGGUGAAGGACCGUCAUCUUAUGUGGUCUCUCAUGUCGAACCUUUGUGCAAAUUCAGAUUUACCAUGGUUGGUGGUGGGCGAUUUGAAUGAAUGCAUGUGGGAUUUCGAGCACUUCUCCUUAACAGUGAGAGCACCAUUACAGAUGCAAUCAUUACAAGAUGUCCUGGAGGUGUGCGACUUGGCUGAUCUUGGGUUCAGUGGAGUUCCCUAUACAUUCGAUAAUAAAAGAAGCGGGAAUGCAAACGUAAAAGUUUGUCUAGACAGGGCAGUGGCAAAUCCGGCUUGGAGGAACAUCUUUUUCAAUGCAAUGGUACGCCACCUUACUUCCCCCUGCUCGGAUCAUCUACCUGUUCAUGUGUGUUGUGAUUAUGUUGAUGAUAGACCAGGAAAGCCAAAGCGUAGGCAGUAUGAGAUCAUGUGGGAAAGAGAUCGAGCUCUCCAGGAGCUGAUUGCUAAGGCAUGGCUGGAGGCAGGAGAAAAGACAUCCCUGGGUGACGUGCAUGCGGCUCUAAGGGGUACUAUGCAAAAGCUGUGCAAAUGGAGUAAGGAAAACUUUGACAGUGUAACUCUAGAAAUUGAAAAAUCACGGACACAAUUGGAGGAACUCAUGUUGAUGAAUGCUGAUAGAUGUGAGAGCCAGAAGGUAAGAGAUAAAAUGAACAAGCUACUAUAUAGAGAAGAGUUAAUGUGGAUGCAACGUUCCCGUAUCACUUGGCUCAAGGAAGGGGACUGAAAUACAUUUUUUUUCCCGUCAAAGGCUGUGUGGAGGGCUAGGAAGAAUCAUAUCAAAAAACUCAAAGACUCAAGUUGUCGGGUUUUUACAAGUGAUGAAGCGAUGGGGCGAGCAGCCAUGGACUAUUUUAAAAACAUCUUCUGUGCUGUCCUUUCGGUGGAUCCAAGCCCCAUUGUUAAUCUAGUAGAAGCUGUUAUAGAUGAUAAUAUAAAUGCCUUAUUGUGCACUGAUUUUACUGAUAAGGACAUUUCAGACGCUUUCUUUCAUAUCGGGCCUCUUAAGGCACCGGGCCCGAACGGUUUUCCUGCGCGGUUCUUUUAGAGGAAUUGGGGCACUAUUAAGGAGAGUAUUGUGGCGACAGUCCAGGAGUUUCUUCGGACAGGGGUAAUGCCGGUAGAGGUCAAAAGUACUAAUAUAGUGCUGAUCAUGAAAAUUCAGAACCCUGUUAAUAUUACAUAUUUCCGUCCAAUUAGCCUCUGUAAUGUUAUUUAUAAGGUGGUUUCUAAGUGACUUGUUAACCGCUUGAGGCCGAUGUUGGAUGGGAUUAUUUCUCCAACGCAAAGUGCUUUUAUUCUUGGGUGAAUGAUCACUGAUAACUCUUUGAUUGCUUUUGAGUCUAUUCACCAAAUUAAGCAGGAAAAGGACUCCACAAGGACUUUAUGUGCCUACAAGCUAGAUCUAUCCAAAGCUUAUGAUAGAGUUGAUUGUAAUUACCUUAAGCAAAUGAUGCAAAAGCUUGGCUUCGCUCAUCAGUGGGUUGACUGGAUUAUGUCGUGUGUAACCUCGAUGAGAUAUUCAGUAAAAUUCAAUGGAGCCAUCUCAGAUUCAUUUGCACCGUCAUGUGGACUACAACAAGGUGAUCCAUUAUCAGCAUACUUAUUUCUGUUUGUGGUGAUGGUCUCUCUAUUGUGUUCAACAAGGGUACAGAUUCAACUGAUUUGUCCCCGUUGAAGAUAACUCGACGAGCUCCUGAAAUAUCACUUCUCCUAUUCGUAGAUUACACUCUUUUAUUUUUUUAAGGCCACUGGGCAGCAGGCGAAUACUGUCAAGAAAAUUCUCAAGACUUAUGAGCAAGCUAGUGGUCAAUUGUUGAAUCCGGCAAAGUCCUCUAUUCUUUUUGGAGAAUCUUUUCCGGAGGCUACUAUAGCUGAAGUCAAGGCGUCUUGGGGUGAUCAGUUCUGGAGUUGAGGAGAAGUACUUGGGCGUACCCACUCCGGAUGGCCGGCUUACUAAGGGCAAGCUUCAAAAUCUACAAGAAAAGGUCAGUAAGAGAUUGUCUCCUUUUGAUGGGCACCCAACACAGUCUCGGAAGGAAACUCUCAUAAAGUCUCUAGCCCAAGCAAUCCCUAUCUUCAUUAGGAGUGUGUUCAAGAUACCGCUCAGAGUGUGUGAUGAUUUGAACCGCAUGAUCCGGAAUUAUUUUUGGGGCUCGGAUAAAGGGAAGUGGAAAACUCAUUGGUUUGCUUGGGAGAAACUUUUGCGAGCAAAAGCACAAGGAGGGCUUGGGUCUAGGGAUUUUAGAAUUUUCAACCAAGCAUUGCUUUAAAGGCAAGCUUGGCGUCUCCUAAUUCAUCCUAACAGUCUUUGUGCAAGGUUACUUAAGGCUAAAUAUUAUCCAAAUGGGCGGUUGAAGGACACAGUAUUUUCAAGUAACCCCUCUCAGUCUUGGCAAGGGGUCUGUCAUGGUCUUGAACUUUUGAAGAAAGGGCUUGUGUGGCGCAUAGCAAACAGGCAAAAUGUGAGAAUUGUUGGGGAACGCCGCAUGGGAAACAAAAAAUUUUCUACGCACAUGAAGUCCUAUCAUGGUGAUGAUCAUCUACGAGUGGGAGAACGGAUCUACAUACCCUUUGUAGAUGCAUAGCGGGAAGAGUUUAGAUAACGCGUUUGAUGUAGUGGUACGUCUUCACGAUCCCAAGAACCGUCCCACGAUCCAUCCCGCGAACAGUCCCACGAUCCGUCCCGAUCAAGUACCGAACGGACGACACCUCUGCGUUCAGCACACGUACAGCUCGAUGACGAUCUCCGCUUUCUUGAUCCAGCAAGAGAGACGGGGAGGUAGAUGAGUUCACCGGCAGCCUAACGGUGCUCCGGUGGUGGUGGUGUUGCUGAUCCUGCAGGGCUUCGCCUAAGCUCCGCAGAAAACCGAUCUAGAGGAGAAACAGAGAAGUAGAGGUGUCUAGAUCUGAAUUUUCCCUUGGCAAAAGUUGUCUCAAAUCAGCCCUAGACCACCCGUAUAUAAAGAAGGAGGGGAGGGGAGGAGGCAGCCUCAAACCCUCAAGGUUUGGCCGAAACUGGAGGUGGAGGAGUCCUACUCCAAUCCUACUUGGAGUAGGAUUCCUCCUUUCCACUUGGAACCCCUUUCCACCUUUUCCACCUUUGGGUUUUGCCUCUCAAACCUUAUGGGCCUUAGUGGGAACUUAUUCCAGCCCACCAGGGGCUGGUUUUAUCUCUUCCCACGCCCAUGAGGCCCCUUGGGGCGUGACACUGACGUCAGCUGUGCUUCCCUGGCAAUGGCUCCAGAAAAGGGCUGAUCCUGCAAUCUCUGGCGUUAGCUAGAUGAAUGCUUAUGACAACGAACCUUCUCCUGCAACGGCAUCAGAAUAAUGCUGCUAGCACUCCCCGGCAAUGAAACUGGAAGAUUAUUGUUGAUGGCCCACCAGCGCGUGGGUCCGCAGCAGUUUUUGAGGGUAGAGUAUUCGACCCAAUUUGUAGAUCGCCAGUCAGGAGGUGAGAGUAUACUCUCAAGUAUUAGCAGCUGAAUUUUUCAGAUUCAACCACACCUGAAAGAUUAGUAUCUGCAAGCACAAUAGUAACAGCAAAGUAAUAUGAUAACAACGGUGUCAGAAACGAUCUGUUGACAGCAUACUAUUCCUAACGAUUGUAUCAAUGGCGCCUCUGUUGUCGCGUUGACGGAAGUUGUCAAUUCCUGUCAAUGGCCAGCGAACAAACAGUGUAACGGGUAGUAGCAGUGUAACGAGCAAUAGUAGCGGCAAGGAACAACAGUAGUAACAGCAGCAGAGCAAGACAAGUAACAGCAGUAGCAACAGUAGUAGUAGCAGCAGAGCAAGACAAGUAACAACAGUAGCAAUAGUAGUAGCAGAAGUAGAGCAAGACAAGUAACAGCAGUAGGACAAACUCGUAGGCAAUGGGUCAGUGAUUUGUUUGGAUGAUAUUCAUCAUGCAACAGCUAUAACACGGAGAGAUAUGUGGCUAGCUCCCGUUCGUCAAUGUGAUGUAGGCAUGCAUUCCGUGUGUCGUCAUACGUGCUUAGGGAAAAGAACUUGCAUGACAUCUAUUAUCCAUCCCUCCCGUGGCAGCGGGGUCCAAAAGAAAACUACAGGAUAUUAAGGUUCUCCUUUUAAUAAAGAACUGGACCAACGCAUUAGCACUUGGUGAACACAUGAACUCCUCAAACUAUGAUCAUCACCGGGAGUGGUUCUGGUUAUUGUCACUCCGGGGUUGCCGUAUCAUAACACAUAGUAGGUAACUACAACUUGCAAGAUCGGAUCUAAAACACACAUAUAUUGGUGACAACAUAAUAAUUUCAGAUCUGAAAUCAUGGCACUCGGGCCCUAGUGACAAGUAUUAAGCAUGGCAAAGUAGUAGCAACAUCAAAUCUCAUAACAUAGUGGAUACUAGGGAUCAAUCCCCAUCAAUACUAACUCGAUUACAUAUAGAUCUCAUCCUACUCAUCACCGCCCAGCGAUCCUACGAAUAGAUUACUCACGAACGACGAAGAGCUUCAUGGAAUUGGAGAGGGAAGAAGGUUGAUGAUGACGAUGGUGACGAUUUCCCCUCUCCGGAGCUCAAGACGGACUCCAGAUCUGCCCUCCAGAUGAAGAACAGGUGGUGGCGGCGCCUCCGUAUCAAAAACACGGCGAAAACUUCUAUUUUUAUUUUUUCUGGGACGAAAGACAACUUAUAGAGCUGGAGUUGGGGGCGGCAGGUGCCUGUGGGCCCCACAAGCCUGCCCACCGCCACCAGGGGGGGUGGUGGCGGCGCAGGGGCUUGUGGCCCACUGGUCCACCCCCUGAGGUGGAACUUGGCGCAGAUAUUUUUGAUAUUUUCCAAAACUGCUCCCCGUAAAUUUUCAGGACGUUUGGAGAACUUUGAUUUCUGCACAAAAAUAACACCAAGGCAAUUCUGCUGAAAACAGCGUCACUCCAUGUUAGUUCCAUUCAAAUCAUGCAAAUUAUAGUCCAAAACAAGGGCAAAAGAGUUUGGAAAAGUAGAUACGUUGGAGACGUAUUAGACACCCCUCCCGAUGGUCCCCGACACCCCUCCCGGCACUCCUGGUACACUACCGAUGAGCCCGAAACUUUUCCGGUGACCAAAACAGGACUUCCUAUAUAUCAAUCUUCAUUUCCGGACCAUUCCGGAACUCCUCGUGAUGUCCCGGAUCUCAUCCGGGACUCUGAACAAACUUCGGUCACCAGCACCUAUAACUCAACUAUACCGAAAUGUCACCGAACCUUAAGUGUGCAGACCUUGCGGGUUCGGGAACUAUGUAGACAUGACCUGAGACACCUCUCAGUCAAUAUCCAAUAGCGGGACCUGGAUGCCCAUAUUGGAUCCCACAUAUUCCACGAUAAUCUUAUCGGUUGAACCUCUGUGUCAAGUAUUCAUAUAAUCCCGUACAUCAUUCCCUUUUUCCUUCGGUAUGUUACUUGCCCGAGAUUCGAUCGUCGGUAUCCAAUACCUAUUUCAAUCUCGUUAUCGGCAAUUCUCUUUACUCGUUCCAUAAUACAAGAUCCCGUGGCUAACAACUUAGUCACAUUGCUUGCAAGGCUUGUUUGUGAUGUUGUAUUACCGAGUGGGCCCCGAGAUACCUCCCCGUCACACGGAGUGAAAAAUCCCAGUAUUGAUCCAUGAUAACUCAACUGACAUCUUCGGAGAUACUUGUAGUGCACCUUUAUAAUCACCCAGUUACGUUGUGAUGUUUGAUACACACAAAGUAUUCCUCCGAUGUCAGUGGAUUACAUGAUCUCAUGGUCAUAGGAAUAUAUACUUGACNNNNNNNNNNNNNNNNNNNNNNNNNNNNNNNNNNNNNNNNNNNNNNNNNNNNNNNNNNNNNNNNNNNNNNNNNNNNNNNNNNNNNNNNNNNNNNNNNNNNNNNNNNNNNNNNNNNNNNNNNNNNNNNNNNNNNNNNNNNNNNNNNNNNNNNNNNNNNNNNNNNNNNNNNNNNNNNNNNNNNNNNNNNNNNNNNNNNNNNNNNNNNNNNNNNNNNNNNNNNNNNNNNNNNNNNNNNNNNNNNNNNNNNNNNNNNNNNNNNNNNNNNNNNNNNNNNNNNNNNNNNNNNNNNNNNNNNNNNNNNNNNNNNNNNNNNNNNNNNNNNNNNNNNNNNNNNNNNNNNNNNNNNNNNNNNNNNNNNNNNNNNNNNAUACAAUUAUAGCAUGGACAAUAAACGAUUAUCUUGAACAAGGAAAUAUAAUAAUAACUAAUUUAUUAUUGCCUCUAGGGCAUAUUUCCAACAGUCUCCCACUUCCACUAGAGUCAAUAAUCUAGUUCACAUCACUAUGUGAUUUCUAACGAAUCCAACACCCUUACAGUUCUGGGGUUUGAUCACGUCUUGCUCGUGAGAGAGGUUUUAGUCAACGGUUCUGAACCUUUCAGAUCCGAGUGAGCUUUCAAAUCUUUAUGUCAUCUUAUAGAUGUUGCUACUACGUGCUAUUCGGAAAUAUUCCAAAUAUCCACUCUACUAUACGAAUCCGUUUUACUACUCGUAGUUAUUCGGAUUAGUGUCAAAGCUUGCAUCGACGUAACCUUUUAUGACGAACUCUUUUAACACCUCCAUAAUCGAGAAAAAUUCCUUAGUCCACUAGUUACUAAGGAUAAAUUUUUGACCAUUGUCGAGUAAUCCACUCGUGAAUUACUUUCGUACCCCAUGACAGAUUCAUGGUAGGGCACACAUUAGGUGUGGUACACAGCAUAGCAUACUAUAGAGCCUACGUCUAAAGCAUAGGGGAUGACCUUCGUCCUUUCUCUUUCUUCUGCCGUGGUCGGGCUUUGAGUCUUACUCAAAUUCACACCUUACAACACAGCUAAGAACUCCUUCUUUGCUGAUCUAUUUUGAACUUCUCCAAAAACUUGUCAAGGCGUGCAUUUCAUUGAAAUUUUUAUCAAGCGUCUUGAUCUACCUCUAUAGAUCUUGAUGCUUAAUGUUCAAGUAGCUUAAUCCAGGUUUUCUUUCUAAAAACUCCUUUCAAAACAACCCUAUAUGCUUUCCAGAAAUUCUACAUCAUUUCCGAUCAACAAUAUGUCAACCACAUAUACUCAUCACAAACUUUGUAGUGCUCCCACUCACUUCUUUGGAAAUACAAGUUUCACAUAAACUUCGUAUAAACCCAAAAGCUUUGAUCAUCUCAUCAAAGCGCUUGUUCCAACUCCGAGAUGCUUACUCCAGUCCUUAGAAGGAUCGCUGAAGCUUGCAUACUUGUUAGCAUCCUUAGGAUCGACAAAACCUUCUGGUUGUAUCACAUACAACCUUUCCUCAAGGAAACCGUCAAGGAAACAAUGUUUUGACAUCCAUCUGCAAGAUGCAGCAACUGCUAACAUAGUUCUAACAGACUUUCAGCAUCACUACGAGUGAGAAAGUCUCAUCGUAGUCAACUCCUUGAACUUGUCGGAAACUUCUUUGCGACAAGUGAAGCUUCCUCAUUGGUGACUUUUCACCAUCAUCGUAUGUCUUCCUUUCAAAGAUCCAUCUGUACUCAAUAGUCUCACGACCAUCAAGUAGUUCUUCCAAAGUCCACACCUUGGUUUCAUACAUGGAUCCUCUCUCGGAUUUCAUGGCCUAUAGCCAUUUGUCGGAAUUCGGGCCCACCAUCGCUUCUCCAUAGCUCGUAGGUUCAUUGUUGUUCAACAACAUGACCUCCAAGACAGGUUUAUAGUACCACUCUGUAGCAGUACUCGACCUUGUCGACCUACGAGGUUUGUAGUAACUUGAUCCGAUGCUUAAUGAUCACUCUCAUCAGCUUCCACUUCAAUUGGUGUAGGCACCACAGGAACAACUUCCUGCGCCCUGCUACACACUGGUUGAAGUGAUGGUUCAGUAACCUCAUCAAGUUCCUCCACCCUCCCACUCAAUUCUUUUGAGAGAAACUUUUCCUCGAGAAAGGAACCGUUUCUAGAAACAAACACUUUGCUUCUGGAUCUGAGAUAGGAGAUGUAUCCAACGAUUUUGGAUAUCCGAUGAAGAUGCAUUUAUCUGCUUUGGGUUCGAGCUUAUCAGACUGAAACUUUUCACAUAAAUUUCGCAGCCCCAAACUUUUAAGAAACGACAGCUUAGGUUUCUCCAAACCAUAGUUCAUACGGUGUCAUAUCAAGGGAAAUAGGUGGUGACCUAUUUAAAGUGAAUGCGGUUGUCUCUAAUGCAUAACCCAUAAACGAUAGUGGUAAUUCCAUAAGAGACAUCAUAGUAUGCACCAUAUCUAAUAGGGUGCAGCUACGACGUUCGGACACACCAUCACACCAUAGUGUUCCAGGCGGCAUUAUGUGUGAAACAAUUUUCACAUUGUCUUAAAUGUAUACCAAACUCGUAACUCAGAUAUUCAUCUCUAUGAUCAUAUCGUAGACAUGUUAUCCUCAUGUUACGAUGAUCUUCAACUUCACUCUGAAACUUCUUGAACCUUUCAAUAAUUCAGACAUGUGUUUCAUCAAGCAAAUACGGUAGUAUCCACUCAAAUCUUCUGUGAAGUAAGAACAUAACGAUAUCCACUGCGUGCCUUAGCACUCAUUGGACUGGAUACAUCAAAUGUAUUACUUCCAAUAAGUUACUCUCUUGUUCCAUCUUAAUGGAAAACGAGGCCUUAAGUCAUCUUACCCAUGUGGCAUGAUUUGCAUGUCUCAAGUGAUUCAAAAUCAAGUGAGUCCAAACGAUCCAUCUGCAUGGAGUUUCUUCAUGCGUUUAUACCAAUAGGUAUGGUUUGCAUGUCUCAAACGUUUCAAAAAUGAGUGAGUACAAAGAUCCAUCAGCAUGGAGCUUAUUCAUGCAUUUUAUACCAACAUGACUCAAGUGGCAGUGCCACAAGUAAGUGGUACUAUCAUUACUACUUUGCAUCUUUUGGCAUCAAUAUUAUGAACAUGUGUAUCAUUACGAUCAAGAUUCAAUGAACCGUUUACAUCGGUGUAUGACCAUUGAAGGUAUUAUUCAUGUAAACAGAAUAAAUUUUAUUCUUGGACUUAAAUGAAUAACCGUAUUGCAGUAAACAUGAUCUAACCAUGUUCAUGCUCAACGCAAACACCAAAUAACAAUUAUUUAGGUUCAACACUAAUCCCGAUGGUAGAAGGAGCGUGCGAUGUUGAACAUAUCAACCUUGGAAACACUUUCAACACAUCGUCACCUCGCCUUUAGCUAGUCUCCGUUUAUUCCGUAGCUUUUCAUUUCGAGUUACUAACACUUAGCAACCGAACCGGUAUCUAAUACCCUCGUGCUACUAGGAGUACUAGUAAAGUACACAUCAAUAUCAUGUAUAUCCAAUAUACGUCUGUCGACUUUGCCAGCCUUCUCAUCUACCAAGUAUCUAGGGUAGUUCCGCUUCAGUGACUGUUCCCCUUAUAAUAGAAGCACUCAGUCUCGGGUUUGGGUUCAACCUUGGGUUUCUUCACUAGAGCAGCAACUGGUUUGCCAUUUCAUGAAGUAAUUCCUUCUUGCUCUUGCCCUUCUUGAAACUAGUGGUUUUACUAACCAUCAACAAUUGAUGCUCCAAUAUGAUUUCUACUUUCGCGGUGUCGAACAUCGCAAAUAGCUCAAGGAUCAUCAUAUCUAUCCUUGAUCUGUUAUAGUUCAUCACUAAGCUCUAGUAGCUUGGUGGCAGUGACUUUGGAGAACUAUGUCAGUCACUAUCUUAUCUGGAAGAUCAACUCCCACUCGAUUCAAGUAAUUGUAGCACUCAGGCGAUCUGAGCACAUGCUCAACAAUUGAGCUUUUCUCCCUUACUUUGUAGACAAAGAAUCUUGUCGAAGGUCUUAUACCUAUCAACAAGGGCACGAGCAUGAAAUCCCAAUUUCAUCUCUUGGAACAUCUCAUAUGUUCUAUGACGUUCAGAACGUCUUUGGCUCCAUAAUUCUAAGCCGUUUAAGCAUUAAGCACUGAACUAUCACGUUGUCAUCAAGAACGUGUAUGUCAGAUGUUCGCAACAUCCACAGACGACGCUCGAGGUUCAGCAUACCGAGUGGUGCAUUAAGGACAUAAGCUUUCUGCGCAGCAAUGAGGACAAUCCUCAGUUUACGAACCCAGUCCGCAUAAUUGGUACUAUCAUCUUUCAACCAAAUUUUCUCUAGGAACAUAUCAACAACAGUAGACCUACAGCGCAAGCUACAACAUAAUUUGCAAAUGCCUUUUGACUACGUUCAUGAUAAUUUUAGUUAAUCAUAUUACUAAUAAACUCCCACUCAAAUAGACAUCUCUCUAGUUAUUCGAGUGGCGCAUGAUCCAAAUUCACUAACUCAAGUCCGAUCAUCAUGUGAGUUGAGUUUAGCUUCAAUGGUGAACAUCUCCAUGUUGAUCAUAUCAACCGUAUGAUUCAUGCUCGACCUUUCGGUCUCCAGUGUUUCGAGGCCAUGUCUGUACAUGCUAGGCUCGUCAAGUUAAACCCGAGUGUUCCGCGUGUGCAACUGUUUUGCACCCGUUGUAUGUGAACGUUGAGUCUAUCACACCCGAUCAUCAUGUGGUGUCUCGAAACGACGAACUGUCGCAAGAGUGCACAGUCGGGGAGAAAACAAUUUAUCUUGAUAAUUGGUGAGAUAUCACCUUAUAAUGCUACCGUCGUUACUAAGCAAAAUAAGGUGCAUAAAAGGAUUAACAUCACAUGCAAAUCAUAAGUGACAUGAUAUGGCCAUGAACUUGUGCUUCUUGAUCUCCAUCAUCAAAGCACCGACAUGAUCUCCAUCGUCACCGGUGCAGCACCAUGAUCUCCAUCAUUGUGCCGCCAUCGUGGUUGUCGUGCUAUCUAUGCUAUUACUACUAAAGCUACUCCUAGCAAAAUAGUAACGCAUCUACAAGCACAAACAUCAGUUUAAAAACAACCCUAUGGCUCCUACCAGUUGCCGUAGCACCGACGUGCAAGUCGAUAUUUAACUAUUACAACAUGAUCAUGUCAUACAUCCAAUAUAUCACAUCAUGUUGUUGGCCAUAUCACAUGAUGAGCAUACCCUGCAAAAACAAGUUAGAUGUCCUCUAAUUUGUUGUUGCAUGUUUUACGUGGCUGCUAUGGAUAUCUAGUAAGAUCGCAUCUUACCUACGCAAAAACCACAACGGUGAUGCAUAAAUUGCUAUUUAACCUUCUCCAAGGACCACCUUGGUCAAAUCCGAUCCAACUAAAGCUGAAGAAACAGGCACCCACCAGUCACCUUGAUGCAAUCUCAUUGCAUGUUAACGGUGAAACCAGUCUCUCAUAAGUGUACGAGUAAUGUCGGUCUGGGCCGCUUCGAUUCAACAAUACCGCGGAACCAAGAGAAGACUAAGGAAGGAAGCAAAAUAAACAUCAACGCCCACAAACUCCUUUGUGUUCUACUUGAGAUAUCAUCUACGCAUGAACCUAGCUCAUGAUGCCACUGUUGGGGAACGCCGCAUGGGAAACAAAAAAUUUCCUACGUGCACGAAGUCCUAUCAUGGUGAUGAUCAUCCACGAGUGGGAGAACGGAUCUACAUACCCUUUGUAGAUGCACAUCAGGAAGCGUUUAGACAACGCGGUUGAUGUAGUGGUACGUCUUCACGAUCCCACGAACCGUCCCACGAUCCAUCCCGCGAACAAUCCCACUAUCCGUCCCGAUCAAGUACCGAACGGACGGCACCUCCACGUUCAACACACGUACAACUCGAUGACGAUAUCCGCCUUCUUGAUCCAGCAAGAGAGACGGGGAGGUAGAUGAGUUCACCGGAAGCCUAACGGCGCUCCGAUGGUGGUGGUGUUGCUGAUCCUGCAGGGCUUCGCCUAAGCUCCGCAGAAAACCGAUCUAGAGGAGAAACGAAGAAGUAGAGGUGUCUAGAUCUGAAUUUGCCCUUGGCAAAAGUUAUCUCAAAUCAGCCCUAGACCACCCGUAUAUAAAGGUGGAGGGGAGGGGAGGAGGCAGCCUCAAACCCUCAAGGUUUGGCCGAAAUUGGAGGUGGAGGAGUCCUACUCCAAUCCUACUUGGAGUAGGAUUCCUCCUUUUCACUUGGAAACCCUUUCCACCUUUUCCACCUUUGGGUUUUUGCCUCUCAAACCUUAUGGGCCUUAGUGGGAACUUAUUCCAGCCCACCAGGGGCUGGUUUUAUCUCUUCCCACGCCCAUGAGGCCCCUUGGGGCGUGACACCCGUCCCGAUGGUCCACCGCACCCCUCCCGACACUCCCGGUACACUACCGAUGAGCCCGAAACUUUUCUGGUGACCAAAACAGGACUUCCUAUAUAUCAAUCUUCGUUUCCGGACCAUUCCAGAACUCCUCGUGAUAUCCGAGAUCUCAUCCGAGACUCUGAACAUACUUCGAUCACCAGCACCUAUAACUCAACUAUACCGAAAUGUCACCGAACCUUGAGUGUGCAGACCUUGCGGGUUCGGCAACUAUGUAGACAUGACCUGAGACACCUCUCAGUCAAUAUCCAAUAGAGGGACCUAGAUGCCCAUAUUGGAUCCCACAUAUUCCACGAUAAUCUUAUCGGUUGAACCUCUAUGUCAAGGAUUCAUAUAAUCCGGUACAUCAUUCCCUUUGUCCUUCGGUAUGUUACUUGUCCGAGAUUCGAUCGUCGGUAUCCAAUACCUAUUUCAAUCUCGUUACCGGCAAGUCUCUUUACUCGUUCCGUAAUACAAGAUCCCGUGUCUAACAACUUAGUCACAUUGCUUGCAAGGCUUGUUUGUGAUGUUGUAUUACCGAGUGGGCCCCGAGAUACCUCUCCGUCACACAGAGUGACAAAUCCCAGUAUUGAUCCAUGCUAACUCAACUAACAUCUUCGGAGAUACCUGUAGUGCACCUUUAUAAUCACCCAGUUACGUUGUGACGUUUGAUACACACAAAGUAUUCCUCCGAUGUCAGUGAAUUACAUGAUCUCAUGGUCGUAGGAAUAUAUACUUGACAUGCAGAACACAGUAGCAACAAAAUAACACGAUCACAUGCUACGUUCAUAUAUUAGGUCUUCGUCCAUCACAUGAUUCUCACAAUGAUGUGAUCCCGUUAUCAAAUGGCAACACUUGUCUAUGGCUAGGAAACCUUAGCCAUCCUUGAUCAACGAGCUAGUCAACUAGAGGCUCACUAGGGACAGUGUUUUGUCUAUGUAUCCACACAUGUAUUUGAGUUUCCAAUCAAUACAAUUAUAGCAUGGAUAAUAAACGAUUAUCUUGAACAAGGAAAUAUAAUAAUAACUAUUUUAUUAUUGCCUCUAGGGCAUAUUUCCAACAAGAAUAUGGCGAGAUCAGUGGCUGAUGCGAGGAAACACUAAUUCAUUGCUUUCGAGUAGAGGUCGGUGUCAUUUGGAAUGGGUGUGUGAACUACUUGAUCACAAUGGUAAUUGGGAUAUGCAGAGGCUACAACAGUUCUUUUUGCCCGUUGACGUUGCACAAAUUUGCAAGAUAAGACCUUUGCCCCGGUUAGGGGAAGACUUUCUUUCAUGGGCGCCAGAACGGAGUGGAAACUUCUCGGUUAAAAGUGCUUACUGGCUUGCUGCAAAUGAAAUGCUUGGAACAUCUAUUACUUCAUUGAGUUCUGCCUAAGAUAGUAGCAGGGACGUGUGGAAGCUUAUUUGGUCUUGUCCGGCUCCGCCAAAGGUUAUGUCGUUUGCCUGACGAGAAGCGACGAAUUCCCUAGCGACAUGGAAGAACAAGAAGCGGAGAACUUUAGAGGAACGAGACACUUGCCCUAUCUGUGGUAGAUAAGUGGAAGACUCGUUUCAUGUCUUGUGUGCAUGUGAUAAGGCACAUCAGUUGUGGAAAGCGAUGGCGCGGGUCUGGGAGCUGCCUAGACUUACUGAUAUAAAACGGCAUGACGACUGGUUUAUCCAUGUGGUGUGUGAAGCCGAUGAACAGCAGCGUGUCCGGUUACUUAUGAUCCUAUGGAGGAUUUGGCAUGUGAGAAAUGAAGUUGUGCAUUCAAAGCCGGCUCCUCCAGUUGAUGCAUCAGUUCGGUUCCUUGCGAGCUAUUAUGAUGCCUUCGCAAUCUUGAGAGCUGAUCGAGACGCUGAUUACGUCAAAGGCAAGAUGGUUCCUGCCCAUUGCUUUCCAUUACUGAGAGAUGUCGGUGUUGUACCGAUAGACAGCUGUAGCCUUUGGAUUCCCCCAAGCGAUGGAAGAUUGAAGUUAAACCAGUGAUGGAUCUGUAUUAAAAGAGAGUGCUGGAAGUGGCAUGGUCUUGCGGGAUCAUGACGACAACAUUAUCUUCAACGCUUGCAGAUUUCUUUAUGAUUGCAACGGCGUGCUUGAGUCUGAGAUCGUGGCUAUCCGGGAGGGUCUCAGGUUGGCGCUGCAAUGGAGCUCUCUGCCUAUAGAUGUUGAGUCUGAUUGUCUUGAGGCUAUUGCAAUGGUAAAGGACGCGGGGCGCAACUUAUCAAGAUAUGCUUUUCUGAUUGGAGAGAUUAAGCAAAGUAUGGGGAACGUGUCUCUUCUAUUACUCAUAUGUGUCGUUCAUGCAUUGUGUUAGUCAUGCUAUGGCUAGUUUUGGUAGAAGGCAGGGCCGAACCAUGGUUUGGCUCGGCUCGGCUCGAGUUGAAGUCUUAUGUAUUGCCUCACGUUGUAGUCACUAAUGAUUGAGUAAUGUAAGACUUAUUUCGCAAAUACAUGUAAUCGCGAAUUAGUGUUAACACCCCAACUGAAACUGUUUACAAUAUAUUUGACAUAUAAAAAUAUUUCUCGCCUCAUUAAAUGUCCACAGGAAUGUUGUGAUAUGUUUGGCUAGUCAGACAAACUUUUAACUGAAACUGUUUACAAUAUAUUUGACAUAUAAAAUAUAUUUCUUGCCUCAUUAAAUGUCCACGGGAAUGUUGUGAUCUGUUUGGUUAAUCGGACAAACUUUUAGCUAUUUGCAUCCGUGACCCUAUUGAGCUUGUUUGAGGGUAUGCAGGCUUUAGGCCAUCUUUUGUACUUCCUUCGUUUUUAAAUAUAAGUCUUUUAAAAGAUUCCACCACAGAUUAUAUAUGAAUGUAUUAGACGUAUUUUAAAGUGUGAAUUUAUUUAUUUUAAUUUGUAUGUAGUCCAUAGUAAAAUAUCUUAAAAGCCUUAUAUUUAGAGACGGAGGAAGUAUAUUGCUUGGCACCCUAAAUUGCAUCAGUGAGCACUUUCAUGCCAACCAUUGGUUGACUGCAAUGUGCUUUACGGGUUUGCACAUGCAAAUCACCAUUGUUUGGCUAUGCGCAAAUGUGUUAAUAUGCUUUACUGGUUGGAAUGGUGAUUCUAAAUGUGUUUUUGUGGUGCUGGUGCAACUAUUACUAUUUGUUUUUGUGCUUGCUUUGUAGCCAAAUUUCUAUGGAGUGUUUUGCAAUGUACAUUUGGUUAAAUUAUGCUCACGUGGAUGUUAAGAACAAUUUCAUUCCAUGGCUCUCUCCUUUUGACCAUAUUAAGAAAAGGAAUAUUUGUGUGGGUAUUUUUGCAUUGAUGUGAUCUAUUUGAACUUGCAGGAAUGACAUUUGCUUUGAUCGUAAGACAACUAUUGAUCCUUUUGGGAUUAUGUAUAAAACUUGCUACUUUAUCGAUGUCGGCCUAUUUUACAAGCAAACAAUGGAAGUCAACGUUGGGGCGAUUUCUAGAACGGGUAGCAAGUGAUUUCUACAAUGCAUCAAGAGAAUUGAAUCCUAGAUUACUGAGACUAACUGGUGGUUGAUGAUUACAUACUUAGUGAAGCUGAUGUUGCUCUUCUUGUUGCUUCCUUUUAUAGAUUAGUUUUGUUCUUACUCAGUUUCUGCUUAUAAGCACUUUGUAUUUUGGCUUCGGUUUCCUGCUUGAACCUGCUUGUGCUACCGUGGCACUAUAAUUCGGCAGGAAUGAUGCCGAUACAAAGGUGUUAGAUGGGCGAAACAUUUACACAUGGACACAAAAAUGCCCUCUGAGGUUUGUGAGUUUGUAAAAUAUCCACCUUGGUGCUUCUCGGCCUGACGUGUUUCAUCAUUAAAUCGUCAUGGAGGUCCUCGACCCAGCCCACCUAGUCGGGAGAUGACAUGGAGCAUCCCCUAGUCGAGGACAUCAUCACCUAGCAAGGGGACCUUUUCUGUUAAAAAUCUCUUCUUCAGUUAUGUGAAAAAAGUAGGGAAUUGGGAGAUUGUUAGAUUUUGGGAUGGUGGGUGGAUGAUAAACCACUCAAACAAAAUUUACCUAGAUUAUAUGAUAUAUGAUUUAUUAAGAAUAUUAGACUCGGUGCUGUGUUGAACAAAAGCGGGAACAAUUUAAGUUCAGCAGAACUUUAUGGGGUGAUACACUAACACAAUGGAACGAGAUACAAGGUUGUGCUCACAUUAAAUUGAAAGAUGAAAAAGACACUUUAAUGUGGUCCUGGCUACUAAUGCAAAAUAUUUUGUGAAAUCAUAUUAUAACCAACUCAUGAUUAAUGGGUUGAAUUUUCCUUUCAAAUUUCUUUGGAGAAUUAAAAUUCCUCCGAAGAUCAUUUUUUUUGUAUGGCUUGGUGUUAGAAACGGUGUGUUUACUAAAGAUAAUUUGCAUAAAAUGGGUUAGAAUGGUGAUUCUAAAUAUGUUUUUGUGGUGCUGAUGAAUCUAUUGAUCAUUUGUUUUUGCACUGUUGAGUAGCCGAAUUUUUAUGGAGUUUCUUCAAAAAUUCAGAAAAAAACUAUUCUUAGAAUUAUAAAAAUGCACCAACCUUACAAAUCAAACAAGUAAUGCAGAGGAAAAAAAUCACCGGAUUCUAAUUCUCAUAAAGUCAUUGUAACCAAACAUACAAACCCUUAAAGCAUCUCGAGCUGUUCGGCCCCCAGGGGCGUGAAAUAGCACCGCCUGGGGGCAUGCCGGGGAAAUAAAAUCGGCCGGGGGAGGGGGGGGGCUCAGGUUCUCAGUCGGGUCCCCAAAGGUCGCCCCAACUGUUUUAAAAAAAACUCGACCCAAAUUCGGCCAAAACCGACUCAAAUUCGAAGAAAGUUCAUAGUUUUUCAUUGAAAUUUAUACAUAAGUGAAAUAAAAACAUAAUUAAACUACGUAGCCGCCGCCCUUCGCUGCCGCUCGAUGUCACCGCCUUCUACAUAUCGAGAAGCUUCUAGAAAUUGGUGUAGUCACCAUCGUCGUUGUCCUACGCUCUGUCGCAGUCCUUGCUGCACCCCUGCCCUGUGUCGCUGUGGCGAACAUUGUUGGAAGGCACUGACGCCUCCUUGUCGCUGUCAUCGAGGAUGACGAGGGUGCCCUCCUUGCGGCCGCGGCGCCGGGCGGCGAUCUCCUCAAGGGCGCGACGCUGGCGCUCCGUCUCCUCCCGGAGGUAGUCAUCUCACGCCCAUUUAAGGGCGGUCUCGUCAUCGGCGGCCAUGUUCAGGUGCUCCUGCUUGACGGGGAGGAGUCCCGGCUCUGUAUUCGGCUUGACGAGGCGGGAGGAGGCGUCGGGCCCGUUGAUGAUGAUGCCGUUGCUGCGCGUGCGCCGCCCUAGCAGUGUCUCUCGCAGCUCCGGCUUGACAGGGAGGAGCGUCGGUGACCCAGAGGAGCGGGAGCCGAACGAGGAGGAUGACGCCGCCUCCAUCCGCCUCGGCGUUCAGGAGUUGCUGCAACAUCGGGAAAAGGCGGGUGGCGGUGGGUACUCGUACCACGACGAUUUUCCGCUCUCGAUGUGCUCGAGGGCAACCUUCAAUGAGCGGUCGGGGACGCCCCACCAUUCGGCGCCCCUCGGAGUUGUGGUGGCCGCGUGGUUCGACCCCGUUGGUGGCGGCGAGCUGGUCGGCGUGCCGGCGUUCGAAGUACGCCGUCCACAGCGUGUUGUUAUCGGGGGCGUACCUCGGCAGGUUGCGCAAGCUCUCCGGCAGCGACGACCGGAUGCGCGCGAUCUCCGCCCGCCGGUCAGGUCUAGAGGGCGGCGGUGGCACCGGGACUCCGUCGGCGCUCAACCUCCAUGAUCCCCGCACCCGCAUGUCUGGUGGCGCCGGGUAGUCCGCCUCGUAGAGAAGGCGGGCCUCGUCCUCAUGAAGGUGACGGUGGCCGAAGCCAUUGGCUGCGGCUCCGUUGUCGGGGAAGCGUUCGAUCAUUUUUGGGAAGAAAGAGGGAGAGGAGGCACCGUUGACGAAGAAGGAGAGGAGAGGGCGUCGAGGACGAGAUUUUGGCGAGAGGGUUGUGUGGCCACCGAUGGGGAGAGUGUUGGAAAUAUGCCCUAGAGGCAAUAAUAAAAUGGUUAUUAUCAUAUUUCCUUGUUCAUGAUAAUCGUCUAUUGUUCAUGCUAUAAUUGUAUUAACAGGAAACAGUAAUACAUGUGUGAAUAAAUAGAUCACAAUGUGUCCCUAGCAAGCCUCUAGUUGGCUAGCUCGUUAGUCAAUAGAUGAUCAUGGUUUCCUGAUCAUGGGCAUUAGAUGUCAUUGAUAACGGGAUCACAUCAUUGGGAGAAUGAUGUGAUGGACAAGACCCAAUCCUAAGCAUAGCACUAGAUCGUAUUGUUCGUAUGCUAAAGCUUUUCUAAUGUCAAGUAUCUUUUCCUUCGACCGUGAGAUUGUGCAACUCCCGGAUACCGUAGGAUUGCUUUGGGUGUAUCAAACGUCACAACGUAACUGGGUGAAUACAAAGGUGCACUACGGGUAUCUCUGAAAGUGUCUGUUGGGUUGGUACGAAUCAAGAUCGGAAUUUGUCACUCCGUGUGACGGAGAGGUAUCUCUGGGCCCACUCGGUAGAACAUCAUCAUGAGCUCAAUGUGACUAAGGAGUUAGUCACACGAUGACGUGCUACGGAACGAGUAAAGAGACUUACCGGUAACGAGAUUGAACAAGGUAUUGGUAUACCGACGAUCGAAUCUCGGGCAAGUUCUAUACCGACAGAAAAAGGGAAUCGUAUACAUGAUUGAUUGAAUCCUUGACAUCGUGGUUCAUCCGAUGAGAUCAUCGUGGAGCAAGUGGGAGCCACCAUGGGUAUCCAGACCCCGCUGAUGGUUAUUGGCCGGAGAGGCGUCUCGGUCAUGUCUGCCUGUCUCCCGAACCCGUAGGGUCUACACACUUAAGGUUCGGUGACGCUAGGGUUAUAGGGAAUUGUUAUACGAGGUUACCGAAAGUUGUUCGGAGUCCCGGAUGAGAUCCCGGAUGCCACGAGGAGCUCCGGAAUGGUCCGGAGGUAAAGAUUGAUAUACAGGACGGAUGAUUUCGGAUACCGGAAGUGUUUCGGGCAUCACCGGUAACGUACCGGGACCACCGGAGGUGGCCCCGGGGGACCACCGAAGGGGGGCAACGACCCCGGGAGGUAAGAUGGGCCAAGUGGGGGUGGGAACCAGCCCCUAGGUGGGCUGGUGCGCCUCCCCACUCAGCCCAAUGCGCAGGGGAGAGAAAAGGGGGGGGGACCCUAAGCCAGGUGGGCCUAAGGCCCACCAGGUGGUGCGCCACCCCCUCCUCCCCCCUCUGGCCGCCGCACCUCCCAUCUGGGGGGGCUGCCGCACCACCUAGGGUGGGAACCCUAGGGGUGGCACCCCUCUCCCCUUCCCCUAUAUAUAUCGGGCACUUUUGGCCAUUGAGAGAGAGGCUUUUCCCUCUCCCUCGACGCAGCCGUGCCCUUCUUCCUCCUCCUCUCUCCCGGUGCUUGGCGAAGCCCUGCCGGGAGACCUCGUCUCUCCAUCGACACCACGCCAUCGUGCUGCUGGAGUUCUUCCCCAACCUCUCCCUCCUCCUUGCUGGAUCAAGGUGCGGGAGACGUCACCGGGCUGCACGUGUGUUGAACGCGGAGGUGUCGUAGUUCGGCACUAGAUCGGAAUCGCUGCGAGUACGACUCCAUCAACCGCGUUCUAGCAACGCUUCCGCUUAGCGAUCUUCAAAGGUAUGAAGAUGCUCUUACCCCUCUCUCGUUGCUGGUCUCUCCAUAGGAAGAUCUGAAUGUGCGUAGGAAAAUUUUGAAUUUAUGCUACGUUACCCAACAGAGAGGACACCUUAUAUAGCUACGGGUGGGCGAGCACGCAGAGCGGCGCCAUGUGAACGUGUGACAGGAACGGACGGAACGUGCGUCGCCGGGACGCGCGUCGCUGCACCUUCAUUGCGCCGUCCGUGAAUCUAUGAAAGGCUGACCGACAGUGCAGCCUUCGCAUUUAUUUGUGUGGGAAACGAGGCAAUGGGACGACGACCGCGCGUGUUAGUUGCUGACUCGGGAGAUCCAGAGUUUUUUCGCGUCAAAAAUGUUUUCACCGGCGCCCCCGGACGAACCUAGCACGCUGAGUUCGGCUUAAUUUCGGUCCUAAUCGACGAAAAACGGACUUGUGAAAAUGCGACUGAACCCUUUUUUUUCUCCCGACGAUGAACUCUUUUUUGGCCGGAAGAGCCUAUUGGGGUGCGGCUAGACAUAUGCUUUUAUCUUAUGCUCGAACCUGCUUGUGCUGCCGCGGCGUUACGAUUCGGCAGGAAAGAUGAUGAUUCAGAGCUGUCAGAUUGGUGAAACAUUUACACAUGACCAGAAAAAUGCGCUCUGAGGGUUGUUAGUUUGGUACUUAAUUUGUACACGUUCAUCAUAAAAAGGGGAAUACCUAAUUAUUCAUUUUCAUUAUUAGCAUUGGAGAGUACUUAUAGCGUCGGAAAAAAGCUGAGAAAGCCAAGAAUGUGCCGUACAUGUACCAAAAUACUUGUAAGGACCAUCGCAAAACUUCAUCCGGCGUGCAAGCUACGAUAAGGGUUGUGUGGGAGCAUGAGGUGCAUGUGGUGGGAGAGACCGAUCACGGAAGGAUUUACCCAUGCGCGCGUACGUAUCCUCUCCUCUGUUCAUCGUCUACAUCUCUAAGGACAACUCCAACGGAUCGAUCCAAAUUAACAGUGAUUUCAUCCGUUUAGGUCGGCCACGCGGACAUAAACGUCCGCUUCCACAAAUGGGUCGGCUCGCGCGUCCAACGCUGAUCGGACCCAUUUUUUGCCGGCGAGAAAAAAAAGGCGGAGCACAAUAGAUACCUGCAACCUCGGUAGCCACCAAGUGCCCGCUCCCUAGGGUUCGUCCCACCCUCCCCCAGUCGUCGGCGCCGCUGUUGGCCUUCCUAGGGCCCCCGCCGCCGCCGGUCGUCCCCGCCCCCUCCCCAUAUCCCCCUCCCAGAUCCGCCCCAUGCCGUCUCCCCGGGAGGUGGCCGGGGCGGCGUGAGCCCCUCCCCUCUUCGGCCUCCCUCCAUCCCGUUCCCUCCCUGCCGCCGCCGAUGGUCGCCCCUGACUCUUGACCGGGUGGUGUUGGUGGCGGCGGGAGUGCCUGUCCCCUCGCGGGCGGCUCCCUGCCCGGGGCAUGGGGGCGGCGGUGGUGCUCCUCGGCUCGGAGACGGUCCGGCGACCCGGCAGCAGUGGCCGGCGGCGCAUGAGGUGGUGGUGUUGCCCUUUGGCGAUGAGAUGGCGUGGUGACGCAGGUUGGCCGGCGACGCGCCCCCGGCCCAGAUCGGGGCCCUGUGGGCCCUAUCUGUGUCCUAGAGGGCCGGCUCCCGGCGUGGCUUCAUCGUCGUCUAUGUGGUCAGGAGGAGGAGCAGCUCGGACGGGGGGCGACGACGCCGAUGGCGCGCCUGCUGCAGUGCGAUGGUGGGAGCUUUACGGGCGUGGAGGGCCUGGCCGGGCCUGUGGGCCCACGGGCCUGGUAUGCUCCUGCUAUUGUGCCCGUCGGCUACCGUCGUCGACGGUGGAGGUUGUACCCUCCCGCGUGCCGACGGUGCUGUGGUCCCUAGUCCCGGCUCCUAUUCCCCGUUGUGCAUGCCUCACUUCAUGAUGCCGUGGUGAGACGGUGUGGAGGCUUCAUCACCGCGGUGGCGCAAGAUGGUGGGCGGUUUGGUGGCAGGCUCUGGAGCAUCCGAGGUGAAGGUUGGGAUCGGGGGAAACCCCUGUCGGCCUGGCCGACACCGACGCGGCGAUGCCGGCAGGUGCCGCCGGACCUUCCUGGAGGGCGUCGGGAGCGACCCUUCCUCUUGCCUCGUCACGUACCGGGGAAAACCCUUGGCAGCAGCGUCGUCAUCGUCGCGGUCCUUCUUGGAGGUGUUGAUUGGUACCGAUGCUUCGGAGCCUUGGAGCUUGGUGGGAGAUCUUCGGUGGGCGCAGUGGUCGUGAAGCGUCUUCGUUUCCAUCGAUCCGCCGUUGUCGGCAUUUUUCUCUUGUCGUUUCUCUUUCGUUUCUUUUGGGUGUGAUCGUGCUGCUUCCGCCCCAGCACCUACUUGAUUGUAAUCUGGAUGAUGUAUGAUGUACUUUAUCUAUAAAGUGGGGCAAAAACUUGUUUCGAAAGAAAAAAGAGAGGCAUAAUACAUAAUUAAACAUUAAAGCCGGCCACGAGGGCCGACGAUAGUCCAUGCAUCGCUCGCAUUACACUAAAUAAAAAUAAAAACACUAGAACUGCAUGCAUGCAGCCCUAGGCGUCCUCGUCGUCGUCGUCGUCGGGACCGAUGAGGUCGACCAUGGUAGGCGGAGGGCCGGCCCAGGGAAACGCCAUGUUUCAUAGCGCUGCGGCCUGCUUCUCCGUCGAGUGUGGAGGUGGCGGUGGCAGCGCAGCAGCACGGAGGCGUUCCUCCUCCUCCGCCUUCGGGCGUUGGUCCUCCCUACCUUAGCCGCGGGCCUUCUUCGCGCUCCUCAAAAUACUUGUAAGGACCAUCGCAAAAGGAGAAACACUUGUAGAGAAACUUCAUCCGGCGUCCAAGCUACGGCAAGGGCUGUGUGGGAGCACGAGGUGCAUGUCGUGGGAGAAGGAUUUACACAUGCGCGCGUACGUAUCCUCUCCCCUGUUCAUCGUCUAUAGCUCUAAGCGAUGGUACACCUGUGACUGAGUAAUAGUAAUAACCAAAUACUCGUAACAGAGAAUUACCGCCGUAGUUUCGACCGUGAAGUUGUGUUGGGUGCCUGUGCCUGUGGCAGUCAGUGAUCUGACGACUCCAGCGCUAGCCGUGGAGCUACUGCCAGGUCGCGCCCGUACGAGCCGGAGCCGGAGCCGGCAGCCAUGCGUGUAUCUCGUCAUCCACACGUCGUGACUCACCGCACACGCGGCGUUCUCCUCGCCCUGGUCAGGGGCGACGGAAGCUCCGCCCCGCGCUUGUUGGCUGACGGUGAAACGUUCAACGUGCACGAAGCGCGCUGGUUACCUGUGCCUGUGCCUGUGCCGGUGCCGGUCAACAUCACCGUCCGAGUCGCCCCGCACUGCGUGGAGUUCGACGCUGGGAGGGGGAACAGCAACACACCCUAGUCUCCUAGGAUGUGUUUGGCCGGAGGAUCAUUUUGGAGCAUCUACAGUUUAAUAAACUUAUAAAUCUGGCCCAUAUCCAUUUUGAACCUUAUUACAAUGUUGCUUCAUUUAAAUAAAAUGGGGCAGGGAGGAGGAAAACCCUUUCAUCCAAAAAAUAAAAUAAAAAAUUAAAUCUUAUUUUUUCAUAUGUGCAACCAUACUUUUUAUAUUUUUUCCUCAUAUGUCCGACCACUUGCAUGUAAUUGGUGAAGAAGAAGAAGAGAAAGAAAGAAAAGAAUGAAUAAAGAAGGAGAAAAUAUGGCUGAGGGUGGGGGUCGCGUCUUACAUGGCGCGCCCGGAAGCCAUCAUAUCAUCCAUAUUUGAGAUGGUUAUGAGGGGUGUCGGUCAGUCCGGGUGUUUGAGAUGAGUAUGAGGGGUCUGGCUGGAUCGAUUUUUUGUGACCGGUCACGGAGCGGGCUGUGUGGCGUUUGAGGCGGAUUUAAGAGGUCCGGCCGCAGAUUCUCUUAUAGUUGUUUUCUUUGAUAUAUACUAUUGAGUAAAUGCAUUCACGGUGUGUUUGCUAAGGUGUAUAUAACUGAACCAGGCCCGUAAGGGAUGAAAAAUGCUCGUUUGGUUCCGUGUAAGGUGGUAUAUGUCGCACGUGCACCAUACUUAAAACAUCCUAUAGCCUGGAUUGAUGGAAACGCUUGAAUUGGAAAUUUCGGUGAGACAGACCGAAUCGGGCGCAUAAACUGAUCCCAACAUAGGGCGCGGUGCAUGGGGGAUUCAGACAGAGAUGGCAAGAGACGAAAAUCAAGGGAGACGGAAUGACGUGAAAUAUACCAUCCGCCCUUCCCCAAUUUACUCGCUCACCCGUGGCUCUAGGACAAGCCCUUCUUCUGUUCUUGGCACCGAUGGCGGUGGCGAGUCAAAUCUACGGUUGCAGUGUUGGUGGCAGCUGCUUUUCCCCUUCUUCUUCGUCACCGUCCAACCAUCCUCGUCUUAGUCAUGCCCCCGACCCUGAAGCUGGUAAGCACUCUCCCAUUUCAUUGUUGAACGUACCAUGGAUGUCGCUUAGGUUGUGGAUACACCCAUGAAGUUUGUAGUUCAGGUAGCAUCGCUGAUAGUUGUAGCUCAGACCUGGAUUCUGUUGAUCCAUAAGUGAGUUGUUCAUCGGAAUGAAAAGCCUCUCAUCCGUUAUGAUCCGAUUUUAAUUCCGGACCGGGAGAGGAUAUUGAAUUUGAGCUACAUCUACAACUACAAGGAGACAUAGGCUCUGUGGAUGCUUCGAAUGAGAAGAGUGCUUUUCGCAAGGCUUGUGUAGACGUUUAGACGCACGUGGUCGCUACAAGAUAGCAUCCACAUACACCACGGUGGAAAAGCAAAUAGACAUGUUCCUCCAUGUUGUUGGUCAUAACCAGAGGUUCAGGGUUAUGCAGAACGCAUUCAGGAGAUCAAUGGAGACCAUUUUCACAUACUCCAGGCAAGUGUUUUAUGCUUUGGGGGAACUCACCGGAUAGAUGAUUCGCACACCAACUGCCCGAACUACUAGAAAGAUUCGCACUAGCCCAAGAUGGUAUCCAUAAUUCAAGGUGAGCACUGACAGUAUGUAGUUCAUGCAUUGAUAAGUUGUUAUUGUUCUACGCUAGCCAUAACAUCAUCUUGUAUUGUCAUUUCAGGAUUGCAUUGGGGCAAUUGAUGAUACUCAUGUGACUACCAGAGUGUCGAUAUCACAAUCUACAUCAUACAAAGGGAGGAAGCACUACACAAGUCAGAAUGUGCUAGCUACUCUUGACUUCGAUCCAAAGUUCACAUAUGUGUUGACUCAAUAGGUGCACAUGAUGCUAACAUUCUAACACUAGUAGGAAAAACAUUAUAGGUAGGACCCCGUUAGUAGCACUGGAAUAUAGCAUGCGCUGCUGCUACUUAGGAGUAGCGCUCGAAUUGUAAAAAACACUACUGUUAAACAGGACCCAACGAGCCCACCGAUGGUAGUAGUAGUAGCAGCACACCCUUGUAAAAAGCGCUACUGCUAAGUAGAAUAGCAGUAGCGCUCGGCGAGAAUCAGCACUACUGCUAUUGGGCCCCACUUAGGAGUAGCGCUGCCCUAGAAAAGUGCUACUACUAAUACCAAUAGCAGUAGCACCCUUUGGAAAGCAGCGCUACUGCUACGUGUGGCUGGUGGUAGCUUUUCACCCACACCCCUCUCCCCCCCUUCCUCUCCCCUCCUUUCUCCUCUCCUCUCUCUAAGUUACUUCCCCACCAUUGUUGCCCUUCUUUUCUCUUCCUUAUACCUCUCUUCUCUCCCUAUUAAUGCCCCCUCCACCCUAAUUCUCCUCCAUAAAUGACCUCUUCUAACUUUAUCUUCCACAUUUAUUUGGCUUUUCCCUCCUUCCAUACAUAUAGAUCUAGCUAGAUCAUCUCUCUCCCUCUCCAUUAGUUAGCUAGAGUCAUAUCUCCUCAAAACAACUAGAUCUAGCUACUUAUUUAGCCCUGCACAAUCUCUCUUGGGUUAUAGGUGAGUAAAAAGUUGUGCAUUUCAGUAAUGGGAAUAUGUGUGUUUGCGAUAUGAAGGGAUUUGUGUGAGUGACAUGCCCCGUGAGUUGCUUAUGUUUUGCUUAAAUGUGGAUUUAUUUCCAUUUUGGCGAAUUUCGAGCAAACUCGAUAUGUCCUAUUUUUAGGCAAGGUUAUGCCAAAAUUUUACAUGACUUUGAUGCAUGCAUGUAUUUUGUUUAUAACCCUUUUGCUUGUUAUACUAUGCAACCAUGAAGGUGAGUGGAAGGAAGGUGUGGAGCGAUACUUGCAAUCCACGGUGAUGGACAUUUAUGCAAAUAAAUGAACUGGGAUUAGAUGUCCGUGUACAAGAUGCAAAGAAGGAGUAACUUUGGAUCCUUUUGAUCGUGGCAGUUUGAAGGCCCAUUUGUUGAUCAAUGGUUUCAUGGAUGGCUAUACUCGGUGGAUAAGUGAAGAUAUGAUGAGGACGUCCACAUGGCACAGAAUAAUGACAUGGGACUAGACGAAGAGAUGACUGAUCGACACGAAGACGAUGGCGCCAGACACGGCAGCGGCAAAGAGCCUGGACACGACGGCAGGAAAGAGUCCUAACACGGCGGCGGGGAAGAGUCUAAACGCGGCGGUGGAGAAUAUUCUAGACAUGGCGGGGAAGAGGCGACGGACAUGCCGCAGUCUUUGAUGCUACUAAGUUUAGUCAUGCAUGACCCUCAUGUUCGAGACCUCCUUCGCAAGAGUACGACUAGUGACAAAGUUGCUUCUAGAGAGGAGUCCAAGAUGGCACAACUUGAAGUAGACUCGAAGACUCCAUUAUAUGACGGUUGCGAUCCUGAGGUGACCCGCUUGAGUUUCACGCUCGAACUUCUAAAGACGAAGGCCAAAAACAAAUGGACAAACAAAAGGCUCGAUGAUCAUUUGAAGUAUCUACAUAAUAAAGUUCUUCCCGCGGGGAACGUGUGUCCUAUUAGUGUCGAGGAGGCCAAGAAAAUCGUUUUCCCUCUUGAUCUGCUGCACAUUAGAUACCAUGCUGUUGGAAAUAUGCCCUAGAGGCAAUAAUAAAUUAUUUAUUAUUAUAUUUCCUUGUUCAAGAUAAUCGUUUAUUAUCCAUGCUAUAAUUGUAUUGAUUGGAAACUCAAAUACAUGUGUGGAUACAUAGACAAAACACUGUCCCCAGUGAGCCUCUAGUUGACUAGCUCGUUGAUCAAAGAUAGCUAAGGUUUCCUAGCCAUAGACAAGUGUUGUCACUUGAUAACGGGAUCACAUCAUUAGGAGAAUCAUGUGAUGGACAAAGACCUAUAAUAUGAACGUAGCAUGUGAUCGUGUCAUUUUGUUGCUAUUGUGUUCUGCAUGUCAAGUAUAUAUUUCUAUGACCAUGAGAUCAUGUAAUUCACUAACAUCGGAGGAAUACUUUGUGUGUAUCAAACGUCACAACGUAACUGGGUGACUAUAAAGGUGCACUAUAGGUAUCUCCGAAGAUGUCAGUUGAGUUAGCAUGGAUCAAGACUAGGAUUUGUCACCCCGUGUGACGGAGAGGUAUCUCGGGGCCCACUCGGUAAUACAACAUCACAAACAAGCCUUGCAAGCAAUGUGACUAAAGAGUUAGCCACGGGAUCUUGUAUUACGGAAUGAGUAAAGAGACUUGCCGGUAACGAGAUUGAAAUAGGUAUUGGAUACCGACGAUCGAAUCUCGGGCAAGUAACAUGCCGAAGGACAAAGGGAAUAGUAUACGUGAUUAUAUGAAUCCUUGACAUAGAGGUUCAACCGAUAAUAUUAUCGUGGAAUAUGUAGGAUCCAAUAUGGGCAUCCAGGUCCUGCUAUUGGAUAUUGACUGAGAGGUGUCUCAGGUCAUGUCUACAUAGUUCCCGAACCUGCAAGGUCUGCACACUUAAGGUUCGGUGACUUUUCGGUAUAGUUGAGUUAUAGGUGCUGGUGACCGAAGUUUUGUUCGGAGUCCCGAAUGAGAUCCCGGAUGUCACGAGGAGUUCCGGAAUGGUUGGGAAACAAAGAUUGAUAUAUAGGAAGUGGGUAUUUGGAUUCCGGAAGAUUUUCGGGCACUACCGACAGUGUACCGGGAGUGACGAAUGGGUUCCGGGGGCCCACCAGGUGGGCCCACCACGCCCCAAGGGUUCCACAUGGUAUUAUUGGAUGCGCAAGAAAGGUUAUUGGGCUGACAAGUCGUCCAAGGAAAGCCCAUAAGGAAAAAGGUGGAAAAUCCAAAAGAGGUGGACAAAUUGGGAAGGAGUCAUAAUCCAAGUGGAAUUGGAGGAGGACUCCUCUCCUCCUUGCGCCAAAGAGAGAAAAAAGGGGCAGCCACGUGACAGCCACCUCCCUCCUCGCCUCCUAUAUAUACUAAGGGUUUUUGAGGAUUUUGGACAACAGAUUUUUGCCACGUGCAAACCCGAAACCUCUAGUUCUUCGUUUCACCUCUAGAUUAGAUUUCUGCGGAGCUCGGGCAGAGCCCUGCAGGAAUAGAUCGACACCACCACCACCCGGGGAGCUGUCACGCUGCUGGGGUCUCUACUUCCUCUUCGUUUCUCUUGCUGGAUCAAGAAGCCGGAGAUCGUCAUCGAGCUGUACAUGUGCUGAACGCGAAGGUGUCGUCCGUUCGGUACUUGAUCGGGACAUAUCGUGGGACGGUUCGUGGGCUGACCAUGAAGACAUACCACUACAUCAACCGCGUUGUCUAACGCUUUCCGUUGUGCAUCUACAAAGGGUAUGUAGAUCCGUUCUCCCUCUCAUAGAUGAUCAUCACCAUGAUAGGACUUCGUGUGCGUAGGAAUUUUUUUGUUUCCAAUGCAACGUUCCUGUCACGCCCAAGAUGCGACCCUAUCCUCAAUUUGGCACGAAGGCCUCGUCAGGGAUAGAAGCGCAUCUCGUCGUGUCGCAAGAAUGGAUAUCGUUACAAGUACAUGUACUAACAAGAAGAGAUAUAUAAAGAGUUGGCUUACACUCGCCACAAGCUACAUCAGAGUCACAUCAGUACAUUACAUAAUCAUCAAGAGUAAGAGCAGGGUCCGACUACGGACGAAAAUAAAUGACAAAAUAAGAACGACGUCCAUCCUUGCUAUCCCAGGCUGCCGGCCUGGAACCCAUCCUAGAUCGAUGAAGAAGAAGAAGAAGAAGCAAUUCCAAAUGAACAAUCAACGCGCUCGCGGCACGUAACCUUUACCUGUACUUGCAACUGGUGUUGUAGUAAUCUGUGAGCCACAGGGGACUCCGCAAUCUAAUUUCCAAAGGUAUCAAGACUAGCAAAGCUUAAUGGGUCAGGCAUGGUUAAGUGGUGGGGUUGCAGCAGCGGCUAAGCAUAUAUUUGGUGGCUAAACUUACGAGUACAAGAAAUAAGAGGGGGAAGAUCUACGCAUAACGGACGUGAACUACUGAUGAUCAAAUGAAUGAUCCUGAACACCUACCUACAUCAGACAUAACCCCACCGUGUCCUCGAUCGGAGAAAGAACUCACGAAAGAGACAGUCACGGUUACACACACAGUUGGCAAGUUUUAAUUAAGUUAACUUCAAGUUAUCUAGAACCAGUGUUAAACAAAGUUUCCACAUUGCCACAUAACCGCGGGCACGGUUUUCGAAAGAUUUAACCCUGCAGGGGUGCUCCAACUAGUCCAUCACAAAUUACCACAAGCCGCAUAGAAAUCCUCAAUCACGAAGCUCGCGAUCUCGUCAGAUUCCCAAGUGGAAAACCUCAACUCUGAGAUUACCCAAAGCAUGACCGGAAUCCCGUUGCACAAGAUAUCUCGUCAAAGGUAAAACUAAUCCAGCAAGGCCGCCCGACGUGUCGACGAUCCCGAUAGGAGUCGCGUACCUCGUUCUCAGGACACGACGGAUGGGUCACACUAGGAGAUACCAAACCUCAGGUUGCCCCGCGAUGGCCUCGUAGUCUGCCAAUUUGGACCAACACUCAUGAGGAGCACUGGCCCGGGGGUUGAUUAAAUUAUCCUCGGGGUCCGGAAAGUCCCUAUGCAAUUUUAUUAGGUGUUUAGGCAAAUGUAGUACCAAAGUUGGGCCUUGCCAGACCAGCUUUAAACUAAAACGAAUUAUCAAGGGGGUCCCCAUAACAACCCCGAUUGUGUUAGGAGCGCUCAAUUAUGGAACAUAACACCGGUAGCCGGAAACUAAGGGGGCAAAGGUGGAACAAAACACCAGGCUAGAAAGGCCGAGCCUUCCACCUUUUACCAAGUAUAUAGGUGCAUUAAGUUAAGUAGCAUUUCAAUAUGGUGAUAUAACAAGGAACCCGUGCUUUCACAUGGAAGCAAUGCACCUGCAACUAGCAACGCUAACACAGGGUUAAGCAAGCGGUAACAUGGCCAAUCAGUGGUUUGCUAGGUCGAACAGGUUGAAGGUCAACAUGGCAUGGUUGAGAGGCUGAUAUUUAACAUGUGGUAGGCAACGAGACAUAAACGGUAGCAACGGUAAAACUAGCAUGGCAAAGAUAGUAAUGGUAUCUGGGGAAAUGAUCAUCUUGCCUGAGAUCCCGCUUGGAAGAAGAACAACUCCGUGAAGCAGACGAACCGACGUAGUCGAACGGGUCCUCACAAUCCGGCACGCUGCGGAACUCUAUCGAGACGAAGCAAACCGAAAACACAAAUCAACACACGGAAUUCGCCCUANNNNNNNNNNNNNNNNNNNNNNNNNNNNNNNNNNNNNNNNNNNNNNNNNNNNNNNNNNNNNNNNNNNNNNNNNNNNNNNNNNNNNNNNNNNNNNNNNNNNAUAUAAAAAAUCUAGCUCCAGCAAUUUAGUGCAUGUCUCUGACUAUGGUUUUAAGAACUAAUUGCAACAAAAAUUGUAUUUGUAAAGAAUUGUAUUUCCUGAAGCCCAGUGGAUGUGUGGCACGCCUCCUUGAUUCUAGAUUGUCCCUCCAUUUUGGAAAUUAAUUCCGAAAUGUUGAGAGGCAACCUUUUGUGAUACAAAGCUCAAUAAAUAGAGGGUGGGGGUAGUAUCCAAGAACUAGGUAGAUUGUGUGUUGAGCACAAGUGAUGACUUUUAGGGGGGGGGGGGGGGGGGGGAGGAGGGGGGGGAUGAUAUCCAAGAACUAGGUGGUUUGUGUUUUAAGCACAGGCGAUAAGUUGUAAGUGAGAUUAUGUCAAUGCAAAUAAACGCUUCACAUCGAAUGUAUAGGAUUUAUGUUAAUUUGACACCAAACAGCAAACACAUGUGUACUUAAUAUAUAGAACUAGGAUCGAACAGACAUUUACGGUCUGAGGCUAUGCUAAUUUUACACCAGUGCAACAAUUAUGCUCCCUCCCUUAGCCUACGAUGAGAUUUGANNNNNNNNNNNNNNNNNNNNNNNNNNNNNNNNNNNNNNNNNNNNNNNNNNNNNNNNNNNNNNNNNNNNNNNNNNNNNNNNNNNNNNNNNNNNNNNNNNNNUAUACAUUAACAGUUCUUCGAUUCCAUGGGGUGUGGAAGCCUAAGAUCCACUGGAAGGGCAUAAAUGGAAUGCAACCGAGGGAAGCAGCGUAUACAUUAACAGUUCUUCGAUUCCAUGGGGUGUGGAAGCCUAAGAUCCACUGGAAGGGCAUAAAUGGAAUGAUAAGUGGGUUCAUAAACAGAAAACGCUACGCUUCCCUGUCGAAUCAAAUUGUCACCCAACCCAACUUGGGCCUAUCUUCUCUGGCCUUCAGGGCGUCGGAUUCUGACAGCCACGGCCAAGAAUAUAUGCUACAUCUACCUGCAAAAGCACAAAUAAUAGGAAGAUUCUUAAUCUUGGCGUGCAGCAGCGACAACAAAAUCAUUAUCAGGUCAGGGCUGUCCACGCCUCCACGGUGAUACAUGCUACCUGAUUUUUUGAUCAAAAACAGUUGUAGCAACUAGCAAGCAGGCUUGAGAUUGAGAAGAAGCAUAUAUAUAUUCUCCCAAAAGUUUGCGGCGCCGGCCACUAGCUGCAUCCUGCAUAUCUGUAAAUAUACAACUUGCACAUGUUAGAACCUUCAGCAGCUCCAACGGAGCUGGUCAAAGGCGNNNNNNNNNNNNNNNNNNNNNNNNNNNNNNNNNNNNNNNNNNNNNNNNNNNNNNNNNNNNNNNNNNNNNNNNNNNNNNNNNNNNNNNNNNNNNNNNNNNNUCCCCCCCUAGAAUCGUCCCUGCCGCGGACGCAUCCCUCCUCUCCAUUUUUGGCUAAGCCGAUGUCCAGAUGAAUCUUCGAUAUUCCCACUCCUGGAGACCUCCAAGUUUGGAAGGGGUGGUGGAAGUUACUUAUAUGCACCGGCAGAAUUGGGCCCUAGGCAACCAGGUGAAGCAUAGCUAUUUUUUCUUCCUAUUAACUACCAACAUUUCUAUAUUGGCCUGGGGUUAAGCACACCCAACAGUGCCGAACCUCAGCUCCCUUUCUAAUGCACAAACACUCCCGUCACCCAGAUAACGACGUAAAAGGGUGUUUCAACGCGGACCCUCAUUUCUCCCCUAUAUGUCUAGACCUGAUAUCCAGACACUUUUGGACUUCCAACGCUAUUCCUCAAUUGUUCGAGGACCGUACUGGACAUCCAAACUCCCCCACUCCAUGCCAAAUUGAGGGAAGGAACAUGGUAGUUCGGAUGAUCCUCGUGGACCACGUCUCCCCACAACGCACGUCUCUCUACUCAUCUCUUUUUGUUCUCAGUCAAUGUCCUGCCGAUUGUCUAUCACAUUCCGUAGUCCAAAAUAUGAGGGGUACCGUUGUAGAACGUCAGCCGGUUGGCUAUCUGUGGACACGUCCGUGGACAUUUGAGGGCGCUUUUUAAGGAUAGCGGUGAAGGUGUCUAACACUAUAAGACAUCAACACACAUGAUUGGAGUCAUGCAACCAAAUCUUCUACUCCUACAAGUCAGUCGUUGGUGUCGUCUCCCUCGCUCCCCGACUCUUCANNNNNNNNNNNNNNNNNNNNNNNNNNNNNNNNNNNNNNNNNNNNNNNNNNNNNNNNNNNNNNNNNNNNNNNNNNNNNNNNNNNNNNNNNNNNNNNNNNNNUGAUCCGGGGGACGGGAGACGUUUGAAGCUUGAAUGACUGAGACUGAAAGUGAAGGCGCAGCAGAGGCAGGCAGCAUUAGUAGUAAGUAGUAAGUAAGUAGCAGUGGAACAAAGUAAUAGUCGUUCGUUUUUCCCCUGUAAUAAAUAAGAGGCUGUGUGUUGAGGUAAAGAAAGUGGCAGCGAGCAAACAAACUCAAACUCCCGGGGGUUGUUGGUGUAAAUAAAACUCUUUGUCUAGACUUGUGAAAUUUUCAGAGGGUUUUUCCCGCUGCCUCUGUCGACCGACAUUGUCACUUUCGAGUGGUGGUUGCUUUAUCUAUGAAAUGGGGCGAAAGCCUAUUUACCAACUUCCGUUGCGGGGUGCCGCCAUCUUCGAAGGUGGAAAUGGCCAGAUACCGUGAG